UCAAUGCAUUGUUAUUGUUUAUUUUAACUUCAGAUAAAAACAAAUGCCAAUUUUGUUGCCGGGAUUUAAACAAGAAUUGCCACGAAUUUGGGGUGGAUAAUCAGUCUGGACUACUGGGGUACAGAACAUAUUGUUUAAAUUGUGACAAGAGCAUCAAUAAUAUAUGUCAGCAAUGUAUGUGUCCUAUAUAAGAUUUCUUUUUAUAGGCAAAAACUAGAAAAGAAUAACGUCUGAUCAAAACAGGAAAUUCUUUGAAUUUUUGGAAUUUAUGGAAUUGCUUACUGUACGUGCUGAAGAGAUCAAAUUGUGAGUUCUUUUUCUAUGGGAUCUAAUCAGGUAUGGACCGAUUCCGAUCAUACACGCUAUAGUACUUGGAGUUCGAAAAAUACAUCAUUGUGCAAAUUUUAGAACGUCAAGAAGCGAAAUCGGGAUAUCCAACGAUUCUUGGUAUAGAUGUUGUAAGCCAUAAUAAAACUCAUGGUACAAAAUUUCAUUCGAA